rnacentral:rRNA from 1 species
AUGCCUGAACUUGUGAACUCUACUGUUCUGAUACUGAUUCCGAAAGUUAAGAACCCUCAAGAAUUUUCACAGUAUCGGCCUAUCUCCUUGUGUAAUGUGUUAUACAAAAUAGCAUCAAAGGUUCUAGCCUUGAGAUUAAGACCUUUGUUGGAGCAACUUAUUGCUGAGGAACAAAGUGCCUUUGUUCCGGACCGCCUUAUAACGGAUAAUGUGCUUUUAGCUUACGAAUGUGUCCAUGACUUGAGGAGGAAAAAAGGUAAAUCUGUGAAUUGUGCGAUCAAACUGGAUAUGGCCAAAGCAUAG